rnacentral:rRNA from 1 species
GAUGAACGCUGGCGGCGUGCUUAACACAUGCAAGUCGAACGAAGCACUUUAUUUGAUUUCCUUCGGGACUGAUUAUUUUGUGACUGAGUGGCGGACGGGUGAGUAACGCGUGGGUAACCUGCCUUGUACAGGGGGAUAACAGUUGGAAACGGCUGCUAAUACCGCAUAAGCGCACGGCAUCGCAUGAUGCAGUGUGAAAAACUCCGGUGGUAUAAGAUGGACCCGCGUUGGAUUAGCUAGUUGGUGAGUUAACGGCCCACCAAGGCGACGAUCCAUAGCCGAGAUGAGAGGGUGACUGGCCACAUUGGGACUGAGACACGGCCCAAACUCCUCCGGGAGGCAGCAGUGGGGAAUAUUGCACAAUGGGCGAAAGCCUGAUGCAGCGACGCCGCGUGAGCGAAGAAGUAUGUCGGUAUGUAAAGCUCUAGCAGCAGGGAAGAUAAUGACGGUACCUGACCAAGAAGCACCGGCUAACUACGUG